rnacentral:pre_miRNA from 1 species
UUGUGCCUGGCUCCCUGUAUGCCACACGUAUAGACCAAUCCUUGGAGUGAUUGGCUACUGUGGGUGGCGUGCAAGGAGCCAAGCAUGC